CCUACGGGAGGCUGCAGUGGGGAAUAUUGGACAAUGGGGGCAACCCUGAUCCAGCCAUGCCGCGUGUGUGAAGAAGGCCCUCGGGUUGUAAAGCACUUUCAGUGAGGAAGAACGCCUGGUGGUUAAUACCCAUCAGGAAAGACAUCACUCACAGAAGAAGCACCGGCUAACUCCGUGCCAGCAGCCGCGGUAAUACGGAGGGUGCGAGCGUUAAUCGGAAUUACUGGGCGUAAAGCGCGCGUAGGUGGCUUGAUAAGCCGGUUGUGAAAGCCCCGGGCUCAACCUGGGAACGGCAUCCGGAACUGUCAAGCUAGAGUGCAGGAGAGGAAGGUAGAAUUCCCGGUGUAGCGGUGAAAUGCGUAGAGAUCGGGUGGAAUACCAGUGGCGAAGGCGGCCUUCUGGACUGACACUGACACUGAGGUGCGAAAGCGUGGGUAGCAAACAGGAUUAGAUACCCUAGUAGUC
rnacentral:rRNA from 1 species